GUAUAUAUAAAGCAUUAUAAAAUUUUGUAUAUAUAUAUAUAUAUAUAUAUAUAUAAAUUAUUAUAAAUAAAUAUAUUAAAUUAUAUUAUAUUAUAUAUAAUAAUAAAUAAAUAUUAUAAUGGUUUUAAGGUUAAUUAAAUAAAUA
rnacentral:rRNA from 1 species